GACGAACCGUGCGAACGUUGUUCGGAUUCACUGGGCUUAAAGGGCGCGUAGGCGGAUGGUCAAGUCGGGGGUGAAAUCUUUCAGCUUAACUGGAAAAGUGCCUCCGAUACUGAUCGUCUCGAGGGAGGUAGGGGCAUGUGGAACUUCCGGUGGAGCGGUGAAAUGCGUAGAUAUCGGAAGGAACGCCGGUGGCGAAAGCGACGUGCUGGACCUCUUCUGACGCUGAGGCGCGAAAGCUAGGGGAGCAAACAGG
rnacentral:rRNA from 1 species